AUGCAUCUUCAAGAACAAGUUUUGUUUGCUUCAAGUAGCCUGUACAAACCAGCCUUAAACAUGUCCAAAGAGCCCUUCUAUCAAACCUGUUACUGCUGUCCACAAACUUGCUAUAAUACAAAACAUUUUUUUUUGCAUAGCCUUGUCCUUAUCAUGCUACAAAACAGUUGUUGUAGGCCUGCUGCCCCUGCAAGAAAACAACCUAUUAUGCCAUUCCAUAACCAGUCCAUAAACUUGCCCACUCCACUCCAAAACCUACACAAAAAAUAG